rnacentral:rRNA from 1 species
GGAUUAGAUACCCUGGUAGUCCACGCCGUAAACGAUGUGUGUUAGACGUUGGAAAUUUAUUUUCAGUGUCGCAGUUAACGCGUUAAGCACUCCGCCUGGGAAGUACGGCCGCAAGGCUAAAACUCAAAUGAAUUGACGGGGACCCGCACAAGCGGUGGAUCAUGUGGUUUAAUUCGAAGAUACGCGAAGAACCUUACCGGCUCUUGACAUACCAAUCGCGGACUUAAGAGAUUAAGUCUUUCACUUCGGGUGGAUUGGAUACAGGUGCUGCAUGGCUGUCGUCAGCUCGUGCCG